rnacentral:rRNA from 1 species
AUUGAACGCUGGCGGCAGGCCUAACACAUGCAAGUCGAGCGAGCGGCGGACGGGUGAGUAAUGUAUGGGGAUCUGCCUGAUGGCGGGGGAUAACUACUGGAAACGGUAGCUAAUACCGCAUACCAUCAGAUGCACCCAUAUGGGAUUAGCUAGUAGGUAUGGUAACGGCUUACCUAGGCGACGAUCCCUAGCUGGUCUGAGAGGAUGACCAGCCACACUGGUACUGAGACACGGCCCAGACUCCUACGGGAGGCAGCAGUGGGGAAUAUUGCACAAUGGGCGCAAGCCUGAUGCAGCCAUGCCGCGUGUAUGAAGAAGGCCUUCGGGUUGUAAAGUACUUUCAGUGGGGAGGCGUUACCGGCAGAAGAAGCACCGGCUAACUCCGUGCCAGCAGCCGCGGUAAUAC